rnacentral:rRNA from 1 species
AUGGCGCCAACUCUGAAGCUCAGGAUCCUCGCCGUGGCUGCCGCUGCCGCCGUCAUGGUCAGCACGGCCUCCGCGGCCGACGGACCAGCUCCUGCGCCAGCCUCCAGCGCGUCGGCGGCCGCCCCGGCUGUCGCCAUGGCGUCCUUGACCGCACUCCUCUUUGGCUACUUCUUCUGA